UUAUGAAUGUUUGUCGCAGCGUCGAAGUCCUCGUCCACUGGUAACAUCUUGCCCAGUUUUCCCACCAAGAAAACAUUUGGUGGCCAUCGGUACGCCGCUUUGUAGCUAUCCGCCUAGCCUUGUUUUCCGUCGAGACUGCCGACUGGCCUCUCGUCAUUGCCACUCAGCCGUCCAUUGACUUUGGUUCCUUUCGAGACAGGUCACGGAACGCCGGGGAAAGCAGGAAAAAAAAACUUUCACAGAGAUGAAUGCCGUCGUAGCCACAGUGACUACUGUUGCGAUUGUGUUCACAAUGUUGCCAAUUGUAAACGUAAUGACUAAGGCACCCGGGCCAUCAAGUCAUAACACGCACAAUAAGUUACCUGAGCCAUCAUCUGACAAUACAAGUCGAAAUAAAUUUGGUGAAUUUGGACUGCAAACUCAUGCCUUCUAUGCAAGCCUGUUACAAACUCUGGUCAGGCUCGGAGUAUUCGCCUGUUUCUGUUUUCUAAGGCACCGCGCAGGUAGAAGGAUGCAAACCUAAGCCCACUACUGGUGCUAGCUACAAUGUUGUACAGUCCGCUUGUUGGCUUUUGGUCAGUCUCAUUUUUGUUAUUCUGAUCAUGAUGUACAUACAAGUACUAGAUCAUGCGACAGCUGGUUGCUUGUACCAUCAUGCAUGGAUCAAACGCAACAGUCUGGUGGCAUUGCUGUUGACCUUGCGCAUACUCGUGAAUUGCUAAAAUGUGCUUGAAGUAGCUAUUUAGCUUGAGAAGAAAUCCAUCCCCACUACCGCUCUGUACACUGAGCAGCUGAAUGCAGUCGGCUCUGAACCACUCCCUCAGCAUUGACGGGGUUGUCUUUAGAGAGACACCCAACAUCAGACUAAGAGCUUGAUCAAAGACACGAGCGCGGUUACUUUUCAAAGUCUGUGUUGGCUAUUUACGCGCUAACAACAGAAAUAGACCCCCCUCAUUGUAUUUUGAUCCCAACACACUACAGUAUUUACUUGUAGAGUUGCCUGAAUUAUCUCUUUAGAAAAUUAUGCUGGUCCCACCAUACACACACUUCGUAUGUAACUGCUGUAUGCGUGACUAUAUCGGCGGGUUUCCAGCCUUACGGUCGUGUAUUAUUAGACCCCUGGAAAUCCUGUGACCAUUAUGCUCUUUCCUACAACAUGAAACCAUCUUCAAAUACAUCGGAACCAUGAACACAUAGUGGCGCUACAUGUUAGCAGCUCCUGUUCGUGUGCACACAUCCUUGCAAAACACGCAGUUUGAAGUAUUCAUUACACCUGUGACACGACAUUCUCCUCUCCUUUGUUUGCUUUUCUCGUAUAGUCAUGCACUGAUGCUUUUUGUCUUGAUGCCUGAAGCGGGUAACACACUACCCCUACCCACUGGCCCUGUGUUAGCGUUAGUCUUAUCUGUCUCUGUACUUGCCAUUUUCGCAUCUUGUGACUUGUGACUCUUGUCUCAUUGGUUUAUGAAGAUUAAUGCCUCCACA